AGCAUGGUCUUAGCUUGCUAAGGCUGAUGGCGACCGGCGCACGGGUGAGUAACACGUAUCCAACCUGCCGUCUACUCUUGGCCAGCCUUCUGAAAGGAAGAUUAAUCCAGGAUGGGAUCAUGAGUUCACAUGUCCGCAUGAUUAAAGGUAUUUUCCGGUAGACGAUGGGGAUGCGUUCCAUUAGAUAGUAGGCGGGGUAACGGCCCACCUAGUCAACGAUGGAUAGGGGUUCUGAGAGGAAGGUCCCCCACAUUGGAACUGAGACACGGUCCAAACUCCUACGGGAGGCAGCAGUGAGGAAUAUUGGUCAAUGGGCGAUGGCCUGAACCAGCCAAGUAGCGUGAAGGAUGACUGCCCUAUGGGUUGUAAACUUCUUUUAUAAAGGAAUAAAGUCGGGUAUGCAUACCCGUUUGCAUGUACUUUAUGAAUAAGGAUCGGCUAACUCCGUGCCAGCAGCCGCGGUAAUACGGAGGAUCCGAGCGUUAUCCGGAUUUAUUGGGUUUAAAGGGAGCGUAGAUGGAUGUUUAAGUCAGUUGUGAAAGUUUGCGGCUCAACCGUAAAAUUGCAGUUGAUACUGGAUGUCUUGAGUGCAGUUGAGGCAGGCGGAAUUCGUGGUGUAGCGGUGAAAUGCUUAGAUAUCACGAAGAACUCCGAUUG
rnacentral:rRNA from 1 species